GGGAGCAAACAAGACCAUGUUCUGCUCGCCACAGCCACUGGGCAUCUGCACCAGACCAUCCAGGUUGUGCAGGGCUGUGCCCAUAAUGUCUCCUGGGAUCCAAAAGGAGAGAGAGAAGGAACUGUACUAGGAACAGAAAAGAAAAAGAUGUGGCCCUUCCUCUUCAGGAGCCCCCAACACAGUGUGGAAGACAGAUAUAGACAGUGAACUCUAAUACAAUAAGGUAAUUGAAGAUGGUGGCAGUAAGAUGAAAGGAUUCCCCACGGACUACUGAGUAAGGGAGAGUCAGGUCAACAAAGAACGGCUUGAAAGCAGUUAGUC